rnacentral:rRNA from 1 species
AUUGAACGCUGGCGGCAGGCCUAACACAUGCAAGUCGAACGAGUGGCGGACGGGUGAGUAAUGUCUGGGAAACUGCCUGAUGGCGGGGGAUAACUACUGGAAACGGUAGCUAAUACCGCAUACCAUCAGAUGUGCCCAGAUGGGAUUAGCUAGUUGGUGGGGUAACGGCGCACCAAGGCGACGAUCCCUCGCUGGUCGGAGAGGAUGACCAACCAAACUGGAACUGAGAAACGGUCCAGACGCCUACGGGAGGCAGCAGGGGGGAAUAUUGAACAAUGGUCGCAAGCCUUAUGCAGCCAUGCCGCGUGUAUGAAGAAGGCCUUCGAGUUGUAAAGUACUUUCGGCGGGGAGGCGUUACCCGCAGGAGAAGCACCGGCUAACUCCGUGCCAGCAGCCGCGGUAAUUC